rnacentral:rRNA from 1 species
UACGAAGGGGGCUAGCGUUGCUCGGAAUCACUGGGCGUAAAGCGCACGUAGGCGGAUUGUUAAGUCAGGGGUGAAAUCCUGGAGCUCAACUCCAGAACUGCUUUUGAUACUGGUGAGCUUGAGUCCGGAAGAGGUGAGUGGAACUGCGAGUGUAGAGGUGAAAUUCGUAGAUAUUCGCAAGAACACCAGUGGCGAAGGCGGCUCACUGGUCCGGUACUGACGCUGAGGUGCGAAAGCGUGGGGAGCAAACAGG